rnacentral:rRNA from 1 species
GAUGAACGCUGGCGGCGUGCCUAACACAUGCAAGUCGAGCGAGAAGGUUAAGAUGGAUUCUUCGGAUGACAGAUUAACUGGAAAGCGGCGGACGGGUGAGUAACGCGUGGGUAACCUACCCCAUACACAGGGAUAGCCAUUGGAAACGAUGAUUAAUACCUGAUAACACAUAAUGGUCGCAUGACUAUGAUGUCAAAGAUUUAUCGGUAUGGGAUGGACCCGCGUCUGAUUAGCUAGUUGGUGAGGUAAAAGCUUACCAAGGCGACGAUCAGUAGCCGACCUGAGAGGGUGAUCGGCCACACUGGAACUGAGACACGGUCCAGACUCCUACGGGAGGCAGCAGUGGGAAUAUUGCACAAUGGGCGCAAGCCUGAUGCAGCAACGCCGCGUGAGCGAAGAAGGUCUU